rnacentral:lncRNA from 1 species
CAGUGCAGCUGAAAUCCUAGAAGACCUCACAACUGUGUUAAAUUUUCACAGCUGACCACUUAAAGGCAGUUCUCUUCAAAUAAGAGAGUCUCACUCUCUCACCCAGGCUGGAGUGCGGUGGCACGAUCUCAGCUCACUGCAACAUCUGCCUCCCAGGUUCAAGAGAUUCUCCUGCCUCACUUACAUAGAUGAGUUUGAUAACAGUCAAGCUGAAACUAAAAAGGAACCAGUAACAACGGGGCUUUUGAAGGAUCCAGAUCUUAAAACACGAAUUGCACAGAGCCCUUGUUACCUCUCAGAUGCUCAGAAACACGAGGAACACCCUCUCUCUGCCCACAGAGUUUAAUGAAGAUGAAGCAAUGUUUUCCUAUUUUGCAUGAUGAACAAAACAGCAGGUUUGUCAGAUGAACUGGAAACUGUACUUUCCUUGAUACCAAGCCAGAGGUUUCUUGACUUAAUCGACUAAUAUUUCAUAGUCAGUACUUCUCACUGCAGAAAUCAUAGCUGUGGUCGGGAUCAGAGAACAGAAUCCAAGAGCAAAUGAAUCUUUUAUUACAAAUCAAAAUAGCAAAUUGACUGAGAAACAUAGUAUCUUUGUACUCUUGAGUUCUAUGUACCUUCUCACAGAAACAGUGAAACAUGUGAGUUGUAUGUUAUGCAUUUAUUUAAAGGAAAAACUUCUCAAAACAAAACAUGACAUUCCUA